ACCCGCACAAGCAGCGGAGCGUGUGGUUUAAUUCGAUGCUACACGAAGAACCUUACCAGGGUUUGACAUGCAAGUGGUAGGAAACUGAAAAGGGACCGACCCUUCGGGGAGCUUGCACAGGUGCUGCAUGGCUGUCGUCAGCUCGUGUCGUGAGAUGUUCGGUUAAGUCCGCUAACGAGCGCAACCCUCGCCGUAUGUUACAAGUGUCAUACGGGACUGCCGGUAAAAAGCCGGAGGAAGGUGAGGAUGAUGUCAAGUCAGCAUGACCUUUAUAUCCAGGGCUACACACACGCUACAAUGGUCUGUACAAUUGGUUGCCAAGCCGCGAGGCGGAGCCAAUCCGUAAAGCAGGCCUCAGUUCAGAUUGCAGUCUGCAACUCGACUGCAUGAAGCCGGAGUUGCUAGUAACCGCAGGUCAGCAAUACUGCGGUGAAUACGUUCCCGGGUCUU
rnacentral:rRNA from 1 species